GCCGGCGUGGCGGAAUGGUAGACGCGGCGGACUCAAAAUCCGUUGCCCUUUAAAGGCGUGUAGGUUCGAGUCCUAUCGCCGGCA
rnacentral:tRNA from 1 species